rnacentral:rRNA from 1 species
ACACGCAUGACACACUGCAUAUCAAUAAGCGGAGGAAAAGAAACUAACAAGGAUUCCCUUAGUAACGGCGAGUGAAGCGGGAAGAGCUCAAAUUUGAAAUCUUCAAGGUUUUACCUUGACGAAUUGUAGUUUAUAGAAGUGUUUUCUGUUAGUAGAGUUUGGUAAAAGUUCUUUGGAAUAGGACAUCAUAGAGGGUGAGAAUCCCGUAUUUUGGACUAUUCUUCUAGCGUUGUGAUACACUUUCAAAGAGUCGGAUUGUUUGGGAGUGCAGUCCAAAAUGGGUGGUAAAUUUCAUCUAUAAGCUAAAUAUUGACGAGAGACCGAUAGCGAACAAGUACCGUGAGGGAAAGAUGAAAAGAACUUUGAAAAGAGAGUUAAACAGUACGUGAAAUUGUCAAAAGGGAAGCGUUUGACACCAGUGUUGUUUUUCCGAAAAUCAAUUACGAAUGUUUUAUUUUUGAGAAGUUAUGACUUCAUCGGCUUGCUUCUCUCUUUACGAAACUUUCUUAAUGCACUUUUCGGUUAACAAGUCAACAUCAAUUUCUUUUGUUGUAAAAGGGUACUGAGGAAGGUGGCUUUCUUUUCGGAGAAAGUGUUUAUAGCCUUGUAGCCUCUGCAAUCGGAGAGAUUGAGGUCUGCAGCGUAGAUCCUUCGGGGUUAGAUACAUUUGUGCUAAGUUAUAGCUUUUCAUAGACAACUUGUUGACUAUGUUAAGUCUUGUAGCUUACUCGCUUAUGCUAUUUUACCUACGCUUAGGAUGUUGAGCGCAUGUCUCUCUCU